rnacentral:rRNA from 1 species
AGCGAACGUUAGCGGCGCGCCUAACACAUGCAAGUCGCACGAGAAAGGGCUUCGGCCCCGGUAAAGUGGCGCACGGGUGAGUAACACGUGGGUAACCUUCCCCAGAGUGGUGGAUAACCUGCCGAAAGGCGGGCUAAUACAGCAUACGACCGGUGGUCUUCGGACUGUUGGUGAAAGCAGGCCUCUGUAUACAAGCGUGCGCUCUAGGAUGGGCCCGCGUCCCAGCAGCUAGUUGGCGAGGUCACGGCUCACCAAGGCGACGACGGGUAGCUGGGCUGCGAGGAUGGCCAGCCACACUGGAACUGGGACAGGGUCCAGACGCCUACGGGAGGCAGCAGUGGGGAAUCUUGCGCAAUGGACGCAAGUCUGACGCAGCGACGCCGCGUGGGCGGCGAAUGCCUUCGGGUUGUAAAGCCCUGUGGGGCGGGACGAACACUCUCUAGACGAACAGGCUAGGGAGCUGACGGUACCGCCUUAGCAAGCACCGGCUAACUCUGUGCCAGCAGCCGCCGUAAUAC